rnacentral:rRNA from 1 species
UGGGGAAUCUUGCACAAUGGGGGCAACCCUGAUGCAGCGACGCCGCGUGAGCGAUGAAGCCCUUCGGGGCGUAAAGCUCUUUCGACCGGAACGAUAAUGACGGUACCGGGAGAAGAAGCUGCGGCUAACUACGUGCCAGCAGCCGCGGUAAUACGUAGGCAGCAAGCGUUGUUCGGAGUUACUGGGCGUAAAGAGUGCGUAGGCGGUUUUCUAAGUUCGGUGUGAAAUCUCCCGGCUUAACUGGGAGGGUGCGCCGAAGACUGGGAAGCUGGAGUGUGGGAAAGGCAGGCGGAAUUCCUGGUGUAGCGGUGAAAUGCGUAGAUAUCAGGAGGAACACCGGCGGUGUAGACGGCUUGCUAGACCAUAACUGACGCUGAGGCACGAAAGCGUGGGAAGCAAACA